UGGAUGAAUGUCUGUGUGGGUGAAAUCCUGCAGUCAAAAUUUAGAUUACUUUCCAACUAGCUAGAGUGCUUGAAACUACCAAAGCUCCGUUCCCGAUGUCAAUGGAAGAAUUAUUUUUCGGCAGCUAUCAGCAGAGUUUAACACUAUAUUACCGUAAAAUAGAAUUGAUCAUCAAACGAAAUUUUCCGAUCAGAGAGCCUUGUAUGAAAGUGGCAAUAUGGUCAGUAUUGCUCACAGACCGCUUUACUUCCGAGACAAGCUGCUGCUACCCAGCGAUCUGAAGCUGGAUGAGUUUCAAGUGAUAAUGGAGAAUCAAAUCCCAGUGACAAAUCUGUGCCUUAACCACUGAGCCAUCAUGUUUAUGCCACUAACGUAAACUUUAAAACCUGAUGAGUAAGCAGCAAUGUACAUAGCUUAAAAAAAGUAAACUGUUGCAAUAAAAACAAAUUAGUUUUGAAAAAA